GUGUUUUUUUCCUGUAUGUACAUUGAUUUAUUUACUUUAACACUGCAUAACAAUAAAACAUUAACUAAUUUGAAAAAAAAGAAAAACUUCUCAAGCACAAGCAUUUGAAGUUGUUGGUGUAACUUUCACUGGCAACAGCAACACCACUGGUACAUCCAAUAUAAUACAGCAAUUAAUAAAGCCACAUACGUAUGUAUACUACAAAUAUGCAUUAAAAAACCUUCCUAAUAUUUCAACUUAGAUACUUGUGGAAAGCAGAGAGCAUAAAUUAAAAAAAACAUAUAUGCUGCUGAUAUCAAUUUUAAAUGCUAUCAGCAGUUUUGCAAUAGUUAGCAUGGACUGGUGGCUGUUGCUGUGUACUAGAAGACAAAGACAACAAAGACAGACAGUGAGUCAAAACCUCAGACUUUAGAAAAAUCAAAGAAUGGAAGCAAACAUUUAAAACUUUGUAGAUAAAGAAAGUGUUAGACCCUCUGCUCUUCUGUAGGGAUUUCUGCUCUGUGUGCCUCUCUCUCCCUUCCCCCUUCCCCUGUCUGUGCUUUAUUGCAGGAGUGGAGUCAGGUGUGCGGGAGUCAGUUACCAGCUGCCAGCCAUCAGCCUCAUCAAGAUUACCCUGCUGGUCUGACUCCUGCCUCCGGUCCACUUCUGCCCAUGCACAUAUGCCCUGUUUACUGGAUUUGUGUUUGGAACCUAAGGACAAACUACCCCAAGCCAUGGACGAACAUGUUGGAUCUCUAGAGCCUGCUGGAUUCCUGUGCAGUUCCCCUACCUGGCCAAGCUCUGACCUGGACCUUAAGUGUCUUGUUAUUUGUUAAUUCCUUCCCUAAAUUCCACCCCUGCAACAUUUGAGUUUUCUGUCAAAAUAAACCUAUUUUCACCUGA